rnacentral:lncRNA from 1 species
UGAUUUAACUUUUGAAUCAUUAAUUGUCUCUGUUUGAUUUGACCUAACGCAUUAGAAAUAUCUAGAAAAUAAAAUUUACAAUUUUUCAAUAUAAUUUACUAGUGAUCAAAAGAAUUCAAAAUCAAUAAUUUUCAUUGAUUCAUGUGUGUGCCAUCAGUAAGUUUAACAGUGUAGAAAUAUCCAAAUCAAAUAAAAAUUUUAUAUUAUCUAUAAUAAGAGCAAUAUUUUUGCUCGAAAAUUUUAGCAUUAUAUCAUUACUUUUUACAUGAUAUUUAUUUUCAGCUGUUGAUUUUUUAGUUAUUUCGAUCACUAGGUAUAAAAAUAUCAAAAAAUUAUAAAAUUUAUUUUAUAAUUAAAUACUUCAAGAUCAAGUCUAAUAGAGUCGAUCAUUAAUUCGAAAGUUUAUCAUCGAAAAUAACUUAGUAAUACAAAAACCUCCAUGCUACGACGAGCGCAACAACCGUAGCUGCUCUC